AUCGGGUGCAUUGAAAGAAGAUAUGUAUGGAAGCCAAGAAGUCUCUUCAGCAUUUAGCGUAUUAGCCUAUUGGUCAACCAAUGGAAAGAAAAUUUUCACCAGGAUUAUAAUUUUCUAAAUUCAAUAUCACAACAUGUUCUGAGCUGCGAGAAAUGCUUCAAAAAAGUUUAUGCCUACACUUGCGAUAUAGGCCUACUGCAACUGAAUGGAAUUUUUAUGAAACUGAUGAUGGCCAUACAAAAACGUUGAACUUCUGUGGAUGUCUUGCCAUAUAAAAUGCAACUAUCCAAACCCACAGAUAGCAUUCAUUAUUUCUGUAAUAUAUGAAGUGGCCCCAAAGCUUUGAAAUUUCAACCAUAUUCGUUGGGCAAUUCCGCUGCAUUUUAAUUACUUUUAUACCCUCAGGGAAUACGAAAACUGGCUUUCAAACAGUGCAAAGAUGAUUUUCCAUUUUUUAUUGUAUUUUCUCUGGCCCAGAAAUGUCCGAUGUGCCAUUUACUAAUUCAGAUAUACUUGUUUUACUUUAAAACUGAAUUUUAGAAUCUACCAGUAAUAUUACGUAUCUUUUUCCAAUCUAGGAUGUCAUAAAUCAGGUACGUGUGUGUCUUUGGAGAGUAUUUUCUACAAGCCUGGCGUGGUAAUUUAUAUUGCAUAUAUUGGUAUUCUUAACUUUAUCUGUUCGCUGGUGAUUCAGAUUCAAAUAUUUAUUUUCGUCGUGCAAAAAACAUAGUACAUUUGAACAAGAAAUAAAAACUGGAUAAAUUUAUUGAAAAAAAAA